UACGUAGGGGGCAAGCGUUGUUCGGUUUUACUGGGCGUAAAAGGCGCGUAGGCGGCGCGUAAAGUCGGACAUGAAAUCAUUGGGCUUAACCUGAUGGCUGUGCCCGAUACUUACGUGCUUGGAGUGCGGGAGAGGCAAUCGGAAUUCUCGGUGUAGCGGUGAAAUGCGUAGAUAUCGAGAGGAACUCCGGUGACGAAGGUGGGUUGCUGGACCGACACUGACGCUGAGGCGCGAAAGCUAGGGGAGCAAAUGGG
rnacentral:rRNA from 1 species